rnacentral:rRNA from 1 species
GAUGAACGCUAGCUACCGUUUUAGCACAUGCAAGUCGAGGGGCAGCGGGGAGGAUGCUUGCAUUCUCUGCCGGCGACCGGCGCACGGGUGAGUAACGCGUACCGAACCUGCCUCAUACUCGGGAAUAGCCUUGCGAAAGUAAGAUUAAUGCCCGGUGUUCCGCGAGGGCCGCAUGGCCUUUUCGGCAAAGUUUUUUACGGUAUGAGAUGGCGGUGCGUCCCAUUAGCUUGUUGGCGGGGUAACGGCCCUCCAAGGCGACGAUGGGUAGGGGUUCUGAGAGGAAGGUCCCCCACAUUGGAACUGAGACACGGUCCAAACUCCUACGGGAGGCAGCAGUGAGGAAUAUUGGUCAAUGGGCGAAAGUCUGAACCAGCCAAGUAGCGUGCAGGAUGACGGCCCUCUGGGUUGUAAACUGCUUUUAGUUGGGAAUAAAAAGAGGGACGUGUCCCUUAUUGUAUGUACCAUCAGAAAAAGGACCGGCUAAUUCCGUGCCAGCAGCCGCGGUAAUACGGAAGGUCCAGGCGUUAUCCGGAUUUAUUGGGUUUAAAGGGAGCGCAGGCGGCGGCGUAAGUCAGUUGUGAAAUCGUGCGGCUUAACCGUGCAAUUGCAGUUGAUACUGCGUCGCUUGAGUGCACACAGGGAUGUUGGAAUUCAUGGUGUAGCGGUGAAAUGCUUAGAUAUCAUGAAGAACUCCGAUCGCGAAGGCAUAUGUCCGGAGUGCAACUGACGCUGAGGCUCGAAAGUGUGGGUAUCAAAC